rnacentral:rRNA from 1 species
AGAGUUUGAUCCUGGCUCAGGAUGAACGCUAGCUACAGGCUUAACACAUGCAAGUCGAGGGGAAACGAUAUUGGAAGCUUGCUUCCGAUAGGCGUCGACCGGCGCACGGGUGAGUAACGCGUAUCCAACCUGCCCACCACUUGGGGAUAACCUUGCGAAAGUAAGACUAAUACCCAAUGACGUCUCUAGAAGACAUCUGAAAAGAGAUUAAAAGAUUUAUCGGUGAUGGAUGGGGAUGCGUCUGAUUAGCUUGUUGGCGGGGUAACGGCCACCAAGGCUACGAUCAGUAGGGGUUCUGAGAGGAAGGUCCCCCANAUUGGAACUGAGACACGGUCCAAACUCUACGGGAGCA